rfam:Cicer arietinum chromosome Ca1, whole genome shotgun sequence.
AUCUCAUGAUGAGGACCCUUCAUAAGCAAAUCUUUAAAACUUUCCUAAGCCUCAAACAAAGUUUCAUCUUCAAUUUGCCUAAAAGUGGUAAUGUCAUUCCUCUUCUU